rnacentral:rRNA from 1 species
GUCCACGCCGUAAACGUUGGGCACUAGGUGUGGGUCUCAACCAACGAGAUCCGCGCCGUCGCUAACGCAUUAAGUGCCCCGCCUGGGGAGUACGACCGCAAGGUUAAAACUCAAAGGAAUUGACGGGGCCCGCACAAGCAGCGGAGCGUGUUGCUUAAUUCGAUGCAACGCGAAGAACCUUACCUGGGCUUGACAUGUACGGAAAAGCCGUAGAGAUACGGUGUCCUUCGGGGCCGUACACAGGUGGUGCAUGGCUGUCGU